AUGAAUGUUACUUGCUAUGGCCUAGAAGGCUAGAAGUUGGGUGGGUGAAUGCAAUGUAUACUGAACCAAGUGGUGGGAGAGAAUUUAAAUCCUGUCACAGGUCUCCCACUUUGGUACUUUGUACUGUAAAGCUGUGAAGCUUUAAUGGCAGACAAUCCGGAUUCAAAUCUGAAGUUGCAUGAUUAGUCAAGUAGUUCAUCACAGGCCGACUUGUUUGACAGUACUCUGUAGCUGGGGGAUCCGUUUUCCAGAGAUCUUCUGUGCUUGGUCUUUUGGGUGAAUUUGUGUUCAUUUUUCAACAGGCGGCUCUGCUACUAGAAAAUCUUUUUCAUUAUUUUACUUGAAAGAAAGAAAGAACGAAACUCUAAAGUCUCAAGUCUGAUAUAGAACAGCAAGCACAUGAUUGACGAAGUAUGUGUAAUUAUUUGUACAGAGCCUCAGAAAGAGAGAGUGAAUCCUUCAUCA